CUGGCUCAGAUUGAACGCUGGCGGAAUGCUUUACACAUGCAAGUCGAACGGCAGCACGGACUUCGGUCUGGUGGCGAGUGGCGAACGGGUGAGUAACAUAUCGGAACGUAUCCAAUAAUGGGGGAUAACUAAUCGAAAGGUUGGCUAAUACCGCAUACGCCCUGAGGGGGAAAGCUAGGGAUCUUCGGACCUGGCGUUAAUGGAGCGGCCGAUAUCUGAUUAGCUAGUUGGUGAGGUAAAGGCUCACCAAGGCGACGAUCAGUAGCUGGUCUGAGAGGACGACCAGCCACACUGGAACUGAGACACGGUCCAGACUCCUACGGGAGGCAGCAGUGGGGAAUUUUGGACAAUGGGCGCAAGCCUGAUCCAGCCAUUCCGCGUGAGUGAAGAAGGCCUUCGGGUUGUAAAGCUCUUUCGCAAGGGAAGAAAACUUAUCCUCUAACAUAGGAUGAGGUUGACGGUACCUUGAUAAGAAGCACCGGCUAACUACGUGCCAGCAGCCGCGGUAAUACGUAGGGUGCGAGCGUUAAUCGGAAUUACUGGGCG
rnacentral:rRNA from 1 species